CAGGCGCUUUUCUCUUCCCCUCCCCAAGACUGCCUUUAUCUGAAAGAAGAAAGAAGGCACUGUUACAUUUUGCAUGCAGAGAAAGCCAGAGUGGCUAGAUUACUCCCUUAGGGUAAUGGAGAAAGGAAAAAGAAAUUGAAAAAGGUCAGGUGAACAAAGCAGAAGGAAUGAAGAGGUUUGUGUGAUUCUUAGUGAAAUUGGACCACUCUAAGCAACCAGACAGCCUGCAGAUACCUACCUUGCUUGGCCCUACCUAAUUGAGUUUGGACUGAAUUAUUCAUGAAGGAAGGAGGAAGAAAGGAAGACAGGAAUCAGUUUCCAGGCUAAUAUCUGAGUG